CUAGCCGUAAACGAUGGGUACUAGGUGUAGGGGGUUUCGAUACCCUCUGUGCCGGAGUUAACGCAUUAAGUACCCCGCCUGGGGAGUACGUGCGCAAGCAUGAAACUCAAAGGAAUUGACGGGGGCCCGCACAAGCGGUGGAGCAUGUGGUUUAAUUCGAAGCAACGCGAAGAACCUUACCAGGGCUUGACAUCCCUUGACCACCUCAGAGAUGAGGCUUCUCUUCGGAGCAAGGAGACAGGUGG
rnacentral:rRNA from 1 species